ensembl:lncRNA
CACCACUGUUUUGUUUUCAAAUUACUGUUUUCUUUUCCUCAGUCAUAUAUUUCCCUUCUAAUACCCUUGUUUUCUAGCAUAUAAGAGAAGCAUAUUGAACUUGUGGCCUUGUUGCUAGGUUUCAAGCUGCAUUUAUGCAGUCUACUGAGACAUUCUUCUCAUUUUUGAAUUCUGAAUCAAGUCCCAAGGCAACAGUGCCCUGUUUCUUAGCAACACAGAUGGGUAGACUGCAUAUUCCAGCUCUUUUGUACAAUGGAAGAAUAAACAAUUCCCUGAGUAAGUGUGUGCUGCAAGUCCAUUGCUUCACUUAAUUUCACAGAGAAGAGAGGAAAGGGAAGCUUUCUGUGGUACAGCAGAUGAAGUUUGUCUUGAAGUCCCUCUCUUUGCAGAGUGUGAUUGCAAUAUUUGAGAAGAAAAAAUGAAUCAUCAGGCCAUUCAUCCUCCACCAAGAAGAGAGAAAAUUUUUAUUUGAAACUCAAGGAAAAUUUUCUGCAAGCCUUGGCUGGCCUUCCUCUCAACAACAAACUGCAGUGCAGCAAUCCAAAGGCAACAGAUAUAUGGCUAAAACAACCUCCUGAUUUUAGAUACUGGCUCUAUAAGUCAUCCUACCUUCCUCAGAAGUCACAAGGAAAGUGAAAAGGGGAACUGAAGCCAAAAGGAAUCUCUGAGGCCACAGUCAUGCCUGAGCUGCACUCAGGGUUAGGGUUAUGCUUAAGGUUACCCCAGCGCUCCUUUAAUCUGAAGUUAAAACCACGGCAUUUAAACAUAGAUCCUGAACUUGAACCACUGAAAGGAAAGCAAAAGGACUCUGACAGGAGAUUUUUUACAUACAAGCCUUAUGAAAGCAAGUGGGAUCCACAGAUGCUACUGCCAAAGAGUCCCUGGCCACCUACAUCUGCUUUAUUACUGAGGCCUUUUCUUAGCUGGAAGAAGUCAGUCAAGGAAGUAUCUGUCAUGCUGAUUGUACUAAAAUUGUG